rnacentral:rRNA from 1 species
CCUACGGGAGGCAGCAGUGAGGAAUAUUGGUCAAUGGACGAGAGUCUGAACCAGCCAAGUAGCGUGAAGGAUGACUGCCCUAUGGGUUGUAAACUUCUUUUAUAUGGGAAUAAAAUGUUCCACGUGUGGGAUUUUGUAUGUACCAUAUGAAUAAGGAUCGGCUAACUCCGUGCCAGCAGCCGCGGUAAUACGGAGGAUCCGAGCGUUAUCCGGAUUUAUUGGGUUUAAAGGGAGCGUAGGUGGAUUGUUAAGUCAGUUGCGAAAGUUUGCGGCUCAACCGUAAAAUUGCAGUUGAAACUGGCAGUCUUGAGUACAGUAGAGGUGGGCGGAAUUCGUGGUGUAGCGGUGAAAUGCUUAGAUAUCACGAAGAACUCUGAUUGCGAAGGCAGCUCACUGGACUGCAACUGACACUGAGGCUCGAAAGUGUGGGUAUCAAACAGGAUUAGAUACCCCAGUAGUC